AAACCCAACCAUGGUAGUUGCUACCAUAUUGCAGCAUAUUUAGCAAAUGUUCUUAAAAUUACCAUGGUCGGGCUUUCAGUGUAUGAGUUUCUGAUCGGACGAAUAAAUUUUCUUGUUUACCGCGACCUCCAAGACUCAGGUAACAGAAGUAACAGAAGGAUCCGGAGAAUAGCAUCGAUGAGGACAGUUCCGUGCAGCGACUGGUCGAAGGUCGGAGAAAACAUCUCCUCGAAGCAAAAAA